ensembl:lncRNA
GUCUGGGGACCAAACACAUCGCCAGGUUUUGCAGGUCAAAGUGCAGGUCAUGUGCCACAUGUGGAGGCAGGCAUCAUGCAGCCAUUUGUGAGAAAAUUGAAACAUCUCCACCUGCUGCAGCUGCCAACAUUGACACUGUUAUUUCCUCAGUAAUUCCCCAAGCAGAGAAAUGCAAACCUGACAUUGAGAACACUGUGCUGCUACAAACUGCCAAAGCAUGGGUCGUAGGACCCACCAGCAGGAAGAUGGUCCGCUGCUUGUUAGAUGGAGGCAGUCAGGGGAGUUUUGUGCAUGAGAAUGUGGUGAAGGCGCUGCAGCUACCUGUUACUAGACAAGGGACACUUACUCUUCACACAUUUGGCUCCUCUGCUCCAACAACGGUGAGUCGCAACAUAGUGAAGCUCAGUUUGGAGAAUGUAUGGGAUAAUCGGCAGGGAAUUGAAAUCGAGGCAGUUGUCACCCCCAAAGUGUGCACAGCGCUGAUGAAAGUGCCUGGUGAACAUAUACAAAUGGAAAUGAAAACCAGAGGUCUUCAACUAGCAGAUUGUGCUGGAGAUGAUAAACCUGAGCUUGCUGUGCUAAUCGGCUCUGAUUAUUACUGGCAGAUAGUAUCAGGCAGAGUAGAGAGACUGACAAAGAGCCUAGUGGCACUGGAGAGCAUUUUCGGAUGGGCAGUGCAAGGCCCAGUAGCAGUGUCCAGCAUGACAGAGACAUCCUGCAUGCAUAUUCAGCUCAGCGAGGAUGCACAGAUUGAUAAACAGCUGCAUGCAUUCUGGGAGCUUGAGUCCCUGGGCAUCAUAAAUGAGAAAUCUGAGAGCCCAGAGGAUGUAGAAGCGUUGCAGCGGUUCGAGGAAACCUCCAUCUUCAAGGAUGGGCGUUACCAAGUGGAGUUGCCAUGGCGACAACAUCAUCCUCCACUUCAAGACAAUUACCGCAUCGCAAAAAAAAGAUUGGAGAGUUUGAAAAGGAAACUAAGCAAGGAUGUCACACUCUACAGCAGAUACAAUGAAGUAGUGGAGGACUACUUA